rnacentral:rRNA from 1 species
UACGGAGGGUGCAAGCGUUGCUCGGAAUCACUGGGCGUAAGGCGACCGCAGGCGGUCUGACAAGUCGGAUGUGAAAGCCCUGGGCUCAACUCAGGAACAGCAUUCGAAACUGGCAGACUUGAGUACGGGAGAGGGGGGUGGAAUUCCUGGUGUAGGGGUGAAAUUCGUUGAUAUCAGGAGGAACACCGGCGGCGAAGGCGGCCCCCUGGCCCGCAACUGACGCUCAUGGUCGAAAGCGUGGGGAGCAAACAGG